rnacentral:rRNA from 1 species
GACGAACGCUGGCGGCGCGCUUAACACAUGCAAGUCGAACGGAAAGGCCUGCUUUCCCUUGUGGAUUGCGGGUACUCGAGUGGCGAACGGGUGAGUAACACGUGAGUGGUCUGCCCCCAACUUGGGUAUAAGCCUGGGAAACUGGGUCUAAUUCCCGAUAGGACUGCAGGGUGGUGCCUGUGGUGGAAAACGAUUUUCUAGUGGUUGGGGAUGAGCUCGCGGCCUAUCAGCUUGUUGGUGGGGUAAUGGCCUACCAAGGCGGCGACGGGUAGCCGGCCUGAGAGGGUGGACGGCCACAUUGGGACUGAGAUACGGCCCAGACUCCUACGGGAGGCGGCAGUGGGGAAUAUUGCACAAUGGGCGGAAGCCUGAUGCAGCGACGCCGCGUGGGGGAUGACGGCCUUCGGGUUGUAAACUCCUUUCGACCGCGAGGAAGCCACCUGGUUGGAAGGGUGGUGACGGUAGUGGUAGAAGAAGCACCGGCUAACUACGUG